rnacentral:rRNA from 1 species
GUGGGGAAUCUUGCGCAAUGGGCGAAAGCCUGACGCAGCCAUGCCGCGUGGAUGAUGAAGGUCUUAGGAUUGUAAAAUCCUUUCACCGGUGAAGAUAAUGACUGUAGCCGGAGAAGAAGCCCCGGCUAACUUCGUGCCAGCAGCCGCGGUAAUACGAAGGGGGCUAGCGUUGCUCGGAUUUACUGGGCGUAAAGGGCGCGUAGGCGGACAUUUAAGUCAGGGGUGAAAUCCCGAGGCUCAACCUCGGAACUGCCUUUGAUACUGGGUGUCUUGAGUGUGAGAGAGGUGAGUGGAACUCCGAGUGUAGAGGUGAAAUUCGUAGAUAUUCGGAAGAACACCAGUGGCGAAGGCGACUCACUGGCUCAUUACUGACGCUGAGGCUCGAAAGCGUGGGGAGCAAACAGGAUUAGAUACCCUGGUAGUCC